rnacentral:sRNA from 2 species
UGACGCUCCAACUGCGACGGCAGUGGAGGAAGCCCGGUGGAACUCCGGCGCGGUCCCGCCACUGUGACCCGGUCCCGACCGGGGAGUCAGGAACUCCCGCCGUCGCUUCCUGCCACCU